rfam:Otolemur garnettii contig184840, whole genome shotgun sequence.
UUUUAAGUAUAAGUAUAUCCUGUGCAAUAUUUGGGACAUAUUUAUACUAUAA